ACCUGCGGAAGGAUCAUUGUCGUGACCCUAACCAAAAGAGACUGUGAAUAUGUCAUCCAUUCUGUCGGGCGACGGUUCUUGCACCGUCUCUCGGCAUAGACCCUUAUCUUUCUUGUGGAGGGGAGGGUCCCCAACAGAACCCACGGCNCCGGAUGGCGUCAAGGAAUACUAAUGUUGCUUGCUCGGGGUUACGGCCGGCCUGCUGGACGAGCCCUGUGCUGCGAUGCUAUACCUGAAUCCAUAAGACUCUCGGCAACGGAUAUCUUGGCUCUCGCAUCGAUGAAGAACGUAGCAAAAUGCGAUACCUGGUGUGAAUUGCAGAAUCCCGUGAACCAUCGAGUUUUUGAACGCAAGUUGCGCCCGAGGCCUCCUGGUUGAGGGCACGUCUGCCUGGGCGUCACGCCAAAAGACACUCCCCUGCCAUCCUGGUGCUGGAUGUGGCGUCUGGUCUUCCAUGCCACUAGAAAGGUGUGGUAGGCUAAAGUAAGAGGCUGCUGGCUAUGGUGCCGGUCACAGCACUUGGUGGACAACGUCGGUUGUUCUCGGAGUUGUGACUUGUACUGGUUUCGGCGACGCUGGCCCUUAGGACCCAUAAUCGAGCAUCGAUUGCUCGCACCGCGACCCC
rnacentral:rRNA from 1 species